rnacentral:lncRNA from 1 species
GAAUCAUAAGAAUUUUGUUCCUUCUUUUUUUUCACUAAGAAGAAAAUUCAGCUAAAACAAAGAUCCCAAAGAUCAGCUAAACCACGGCAAAACACACAUAAGACGUUCAGAGCACCAUGGAAGCAAUUAUUCAUCAAACCCAGCCUUCAUUUCAGGCUCCAGUAUGUUACAUCUCAGCACUAUUAGGAUGUCUCAAGUUCCAGCUCCUGUUACUAAAAUGUUACAUAUGAUUUCCUAUUUUAUUUUAUUUGGAGGCAGAAACAAAAGGUUACAGAUGAUUCAUGAUUCAGUCUGGAACUACAAGGUAUACAACUCCUUUUAUUGG